CCNUGGNNUCCUGUCGGAGGNAGUUUGNUNCCNGCUCNGUCANAGNNUCCGGAAGANUUNCUUGCNACNUUNCNUAGCGGCGGACGGGUGAGUAAUGCUUAGGAAUCUGCCUAUUAGUGGGGGACAACAUUCCGAAAGGAAUGCUAAUACCGCAUACGUCCUACGGGAGAAAGCAGGGGAUCUUCGGACCUUGCGCUAAUAGAUGAGCCUAAGUCGGAUUAGCUAGUUGGUGGGGUAAAGGCCUACCAAGGCGACGAUCUGUAGCGGGUCUGAGAGGAUGAUCCGCCACACUGGGACUGAGACACGGCCCANACUCCUACGGGAGGCAGCAGUGGGGAAUAUUGGACAAUGGGCGGAAGCCUGAUCCAGCCAUGCCGCGUGUGUGAAGAAGGCCUUAUGGUUGUAAAGCACUUUAAGCGAGGAGGAGGCUACUCUAGUUAAUACCUAGAGAUAGUGGACGUUACUCGCAGAAUAAGCACCGGCUAACUCUGUGCCAGCAGCCGCGGUAAUACAGAGGGUGCGAGCGUUAAUCGGAUUUACUGGGCGUAAAGCGUGCGUAGGCGGCUGAUUAANUCGGAUGUGAAAUCCCUGAGCUUAACUUAGGAAUUGCAUUCGAUACUGGUCAGCUAGAGUUUGGGANAGGAUGGUANANUUCCANGUGUAGCGGUGAAAUGCGUANAGAUCUGGAGGAAUACCGAUGGCGAANGCCAGCCAUCUGGCCUAAUACUGACCCUGANGGUACCAAAAGCNUGGGGGNCCAACNGGAUUANANACCCCUGGUAGUCCAUGCCNGAAACGANGUUCUACUANCCGUUNGGGNCCNUUNGAGGCUU
rnacentral:rRNA from 1 species